UCCCGACCUUCUCCUGGUCCUUCCUCUGCCCAGACGCCCCAGACCUGCUGCUCCCGCCUCCAUUCCCCUCCCAGCGGCCGGAGCGAAGUUUUCAAACCCGGAAGUGACUUGUUUGGGAUGGACACUGAAUUCUUUCCAGGCCCUGAGGCCCGCUCCAGCCACCCUGGCCUUCUGCGUCUGCUCCCUCCUGCGCCAAGCUUUUACCGGGCCGGUGCCCUUUGCUUAGUCUGCCCUUUCCCCCCGUGCCCCUCCCCCUGCUCCUAGCUUGUUCCGACUGACCUUCCCAGAGCUGUAUGGGUUAAGGUUCCUCUGGGGGCUCCUUCAGACCCCGUGCAUUUUGCGUUUUCUGGCACGGAGCCCCCUGCUCUGGGGUACGGGCCUUCCUGUCUACACCGGCUGACCUUUCAUCUCUGUGUUCUGCCCACCGCAUAGAGCCUGGUACACCAUAUGCUUAAUACCGUGUGCUCUGAACCAAAGAGGGUUGAUGGCUAAGGAACUACCAUCCCUGGCAUCGCUAGAAUACCAGGCCCUGAAUAGGUCAGGUGCUUGUAGAUAAAUAGGGCCGACUGACGCUCAGUUUCGCCACAGCCCUGGGAGGGGCGCACUGGAGCCCUUUUCCUGGGGAGUCAGUGAAGGCUCCCAGAGGCUGAGUAGCUCAGGUCACCUCCGCUCGACUGGGUAGGGCAGGUCUGGGGGCCGGGGACACCUUCAUGCCAGGCAGACUGGACCUCCAGGCCCCUCUGAAGGACAGGUCCCAAGGAAAGACGCAUGUAGUAAGAUAAAUGAAAAAUUUGGGUCCCAAAGGGGGCACACAGAGCAGGCUGCCCGAGUUAAAACCCAGACCCUGCCAUUCCUUUGACCUUUGGCUCACACGCUGUGUCUCGGUUUACUCACCUGUGGAACGGUAUGUGCCUGUUCAGGUAGUUCAGUGCAAGCUGCUUUAUUUCCUGCCCACUGGAAGGUUCUGAAGUGGCUGGAACCUGUCUGCCUUAAUUACUGACAUAUCGCAGCACCCAGCAUGGCGCCUGGUGCACUGGAUGUAAGGUCUGUUUGGAUCGAGGACCUUUUCCUGCAUUUCCUGUGCGCUGGCUGGCUCAGGGGGAAGGAGACGUGGCCUUGGUACCCAGCUGCUCACAAGGGCAAGUUAGUAACCAACCUACCAACUGGCCUCUGGACUGAUGCCUGUCUCCCUGAGGCGGCCUCCACAGCCAGAGGACCCUGCCCACAGAGGCAGGUUGGAAGGAGCCUCUCCUCCUAGGGCCUCAGUCUCCCCACUUGGACGCUGCUGCAAGUUACAGGUAAGAGCCCACGCUGGAACCAGCAGAGAUGGGCCACACUGUGACUUUCUGGGGGCACUUUUACAGACGUAAGUCCCUUUCAACCCAGAUGGCACUUACUUGAGGUCCCACGGAUUUAGUGGCAGAGAUAAGAAUUCAGGUUUCUGAUUAUGGUUACUGCUCGCCCUCCCUCCCGCUUUGCUCUGGGCCUCCUCGAGCAGGGCUCAGCGUAGGACCCCGGAGGAUGGGGCAGGGCCAGGCGGCAAGCUAAGGUGCUUUAUACACACAACCUCGCUACUCUCUCACAACGGCCCUGAAAGCCAGGCUGCUUUUCCCGCUGGGGCUCCCAGAGCUUAGGUCUCGUUGAAGAUCACACAGCAGGGAGGAACGAGGACUGCCUCCGUUCUUCCCUUUGGUUUCCAGCUUGGAUGGCAUGUAAGACACAGCAACAGAAGCAGAGAAUUUCAGAGCUGGAGGGGCAGAUGCUGGGGAAGUCCACCUCCGGGUCCAGUGCCACUGGGACAGGGCUUCCCACCACUCGCAGAAGGUCAAGCAGAGGCCCGACCCCGAAGGCAGAUCCAAAGCUGUGGGCCCAUAAACCCACAAACGAACACAAGCACAGGCUGCCCAGCUUCCUCCUCUUGCUCGUGGGUCCCUCUCUUCUCCACACUCUGUCCCGGUUAACUCUGUGUCCACCACAAACCUCAAGGUCGUUAGGAAGUGGGACACAGGGCAGAUUCCCAUGGAAAGUAACUGCCCAGUCAAGCCCCAGGAAGCUAGCGCCAUCUCGUACAUUUGUCCUGCAAAGCUGGGUGGCUUCCCCACCUCCCCUGACCACGAGAUAACCGUCCUACAAUUCUAGAAAGAGUAGAGACGCGUUUCACAGCCUUUAACCUGAUACAGAUGCCUGCCUCAAUCGACCUUUGUCCACAAGGCAGGCCUAGCAACCUGCCCUCGGGAGAGCCCCAGGCAGGACCCAAGGCCGGACAGAGUUCCUGGAUUCGGGGUGGGUCCCGGUCGUUUGGGGGAUCAGAGCCUUGUAAAACCACCCAGCAACUUGGUUUAAAUCAGAGCCCCGGCCUGCUUCUGCCAAACCCGAGGCAGGUGCAGUGUGUGAAUUACAGGCUGAAGUUACAGGAGAAAGUGGCAGUGCCAGUGAUUGGGUUGGUCUUCCCACCCCCCAAGGCCUGGGGGCGUGUCUGCUGGCUGCCAGUGCAGCCAAAGGCGCUGCUGCUGCUGGGGGGCGUGUCCCCUGCGGGGCCUGUCCCUGUGGAUUCCUCACAUAGACUCAGCAAUCACUGACCGAGAUAUGGAUGGGAGGCCUGGCCAAUGCACUCGUACUGGGUUGGCCCAAAAGUCUGUAUGUUCUUUUUGGUAAAAUAAGUCCCAUUUUUCAUUUUCACCAAUAACUUUUAAAAAAUAUUUUAUUUAUUUAUUUAUCUUUAGAGGGGAAGGAGAGAGGGAGAGAAACAUCAAUGUGUGGUUGCCUUUCAUGCGUCCCCUGCUGGGAACUGGCCUGCAGGGAACCAGCCUGCAACCUAGGCAUGUGCCCUGACUGGGAAUCAAACCGGCGACACUUUGCUUCACAGGCCUGUACUCAAUCCACUAAGCUACACCA